CGUUGCUCCUGAAUCGCCACUGCCUACGGCUUCUUCUCUCCUCUCACCCACGGAAUCUCUCUUUCUCGCCGUUUAGCAUUGGUCGCCCCCGCAUGCCAUCCCCUUGCUGGAGCUCGAUGAGUAGGAGCGGCCCAUGACGGUGGCCUAGUAAACCUGUUUCCCUACCCUUGCUCUCCAACCCAUCUUCUCACCGUAGCCUGAAAUCACGCAUGCCUCGUGAUCCUCUCCAAUGGCGCCUCCUCCAUCCCUCUCCCUCUCCCUCUCCCUCUCCCUCUCUCCUGAAUAGGCGAAGCUUCAUGUGUUGUCCGGAUCCUAUUUACAACUGGCACCUUGCCUUCAUGAUUUAAAUUUUGAUCUACCAAGAACAAACCAGUGGUUAUAGGAACUUUUAUUUGUUUCUCACCUGAAAAUUAUCAUGUAAUUCUUGAAUUAAAUAGCGCUCAUUCUUGAUGUUACCCGGUGGGACUGAAAAGUGAAAUAGUAUGCGCUUCAUCAUGUGGUCCUGGCCUCUUAAUAAGUGUUUUCUCAUUUCUUCUCAACGGAAGUUCUUGCCAGAAUCUUGCAAUGGUGAUAGUGUUAAGAACAGAGUCUAGUUUUAUUUAUGUUUAUUCUGUGGGACUGAUUAAUGAACUAUUUCUUCACAUGUCCGAGAUAGACGGGUCCAAGUUCACACAGAAUGCAUCUUAUUGUUCUAUUUACUUGCACCCUACUGUAUAGUCUUACACCAGGGAGGACCUAGCGGCACAACAAUUGUUUUUUUGUAAUUGUUGAUUUAAAAUUGCUCGAUGUUUUUGCUUGCAGGAGCAGACAUGAGGAUGAUAGCGAAUCAUUGAGUAAUAAUCAAGAUCAUCUAGAUGUAUGGAACCUGCCUCAUUAUGGCUGUGCAGAAUGGCCAUGGUGAUGAGCCUCUCAUGCGACCAUGAGUUCCACCUAGGAGAAUAUUAGGCAAAGUAGUGGCUCAAGCCGGCAGGGGACGGAGCUAAAGGAGUGGGUGGGAUAAGUCCAUGGGUGGAAGGGCGUCUUCACAAGCAGCAACUCCACCAUCACAUUUACCAUUGAUGUCAACGGAGUCAGGAAUGUCCAUGUCUGAAGAACAACCUCGCACAUGGUUAAGUGGAGCAGAUCAAGUCGGGAAGAAGAUUGAAAAUUUCAAAGUUCAGGAAUUUCGGGCAAAUUACCAUGCAGUGGCGACUACUAUGGUUAUGUUCGAACGAACUUGUUACUGCGUUCAGUUAUCAUCAUGUUUUACAUGUUCAUCAGAAGACAUAAAUGUCAACAUUCGACAUUGCUCAAACCACUAGGGACUGAAAUGUGCAAGGUUACCGAGAAGAAAGUUUGGAUACAAGCCAGAGAACAAUUUCUAUGGCCUACAUGGCCCACAUAGGGAUAUGCUGUGUGCACAAGGUCGUUAAACUUGUUAAUUUUUACAAUGAUGGAUAAUAGAGAUUUGAAAUUAAGUGCAUGUACAUUCCCUGUUUGCACAGGGUUAUUAAGUUCUUUUAUUUUUGGAAAAAUGGAGGAUCAAUUAUUUCAAUUAUGCGAGUACUUUCUUUUUGUCAUGAUUCAUAAAACUUUAUUAUGCCACUCGAAUAUAUGUUGUGUAAUGUUCCCUGAACUAUGAAGUCUGCAUUUGGGCAGUACUUCUGAAGGUAAAUUUGUCAUCACAAGUGAUUGCUGUCAAGGUAGCAAAUGCAAUCACUAGGUGUCUUGUGGAUGCACAAAUCGACUAUGGUAUUGUUUGGUACAUGGCUUCUUCAUGAGGGAACCAAGGAAACACGAUGCUGAAAAAUAUUGUACUGAA